UGAAGAGUUUGUCAUAGUUUUGACCUGAAA
rnacentral:piRNA from 1 species